UCCGGUUUGUCACCGGCGGUCUCCUUAGAGUUCCCAACUUAAUGAUGGCAACUAAGGACAAGGGUUGCGCUCGUUGCGGGACUUAACCCAACAUCUCACGACACGAGCUGACGACAGCCAUGCAGCACCUGUCUCUCGGUUCCCGAAGGCACCCCCGCAUCUCUGCAGGGUUCCGAGGAUGUCGAGGGCAGGUAAGGUUCUUCGCGUUGCAUCGAAUUAAACCACAUGCUCCACCGCUUGUGCGGGUCCCCGUCAAUUCAUUUGAGUUUCAACCUUGCGGCCGUACUCCCUAGGCGGCAUGCUUAAUGCGUUAGCUGCGACACAAGAGAGCUAAGCCCUCCAACGUCUAGCAUGCAUCGUUUACGGCGUGGACUAC
rnacentral:misc_RNA from 1 species